GCGCGGGUGGCGGAAUUGGUAGACGCGCACGUUUGAGGGGCGUGUGGGGAAACCCAUGAGGGUUCAAGUCCCUCCCCGCGCA
rnacentral:tRNA from 1 species